rnacentral:lncRNA from 1 species
GCGCUACCAGUAAAGACAUCUAUUGUAAAGUCAGUCCUAAUCUAGCGGGUGACUCCUGGGAUCAGUCCUAUACUUAUAAAUGUGCUAACGGGUGACCCCUGAGUAUGUCAGUCCUAUCUAACGGGCGACAUCUCGUACCUACGCUGGUAACGUAGUUCUGGAACUUAGGGAUUGCUUCUAAGGAUCUCAGUCCUACUCUAGCGGGUGAGCC